UAGAUAUUAUACGUACAUGGAUUGGAAACAUCACAGGAAGCCAAUAUUAAAAACUCCUGAAACGUCACUUCCUGUUAGUCAAAGGCUCUUUUCGGGAGAUGGCGGCUAGGAGUUGGUAGUUAUCGUCAGUUAGUGUUUUACCUUGGACAGAUUUGGAUCCAAUUGUUGCUUCACUGUGUUUCCCAGGAGAAAUUAUGAAGUGAAUUGGAAGGAGAUAGGAGGUUAAAAAUUAUUGAAGGUGGUGUUUUACUGCCAAUUGAAGAUCAAUUUCAUCUGUUAUAUGGUUUAAUAGUAGGAACAAAAUACCUUUGCAUGCACUGUCUACCAUAUUGAGAAAGCCAGGAGCAUGAGCCAUCAGCAGACUGUAAUCAUCAUUAAUAAUUGAAUCUACUUGUUUGUGGCAUGUCAUCAAGGAAUUCUACGAAGUCAUCAACAAUACCUCAGUGAUAUUAAUAAUA
rnacentral:lncRNA from 1 species